GCUGGAGAGAGGUCACUGCACUAGCUCCCUGCAAGGCAGGACAUGCCAGAGGAUUGAGAGGGACUCGAGCAGCUACUCAGUGUCUGCCCUUUUCCAUACAUGGUGCCUUUUAUUAACUCCUUGAAAACAGCUGCAUUGAACGCUGCUGUUUUGUGUUAACUUCUGAAGAGCUGUGAGGCUCCUAAGCAGAGCCUGCCUAGAAAAGGAAACAGCAGAAGGAGACUGGUGUGCCAUCUCCUGAAAUAUGAGUAGAAAAAAAGCAUCAAGGAAAAGAUCAUGGAAGUACUUAAGAAUUUCAGAAGUUACUACCCUUGGAAGAGAAAGAAAAACUUCAGAGAGACACUUCCAGAUACCAGAAGAAAGGGCAGUACCCCUCCUUUGCAGGGAGCCCCUCAGGGAGCAUUCUGCACAGUCAGAGGAGGGAAGAAAUGCUCUUCUCUGUGCUUCAGCCCAUAGCCUUAUCUUUUUGAUGACUACAGU